CGGUGGCAUCCGUUGCAUGAUGCAAAAAGGAUUGAUUUCAAAAGUUGCGAGUUGCAUUGGCAGCAGCCUUUGGCGCCCAGGCCACCUACUUUUCCUUGACCCGCUGGAAGGGCCGGGAAUGUUUUCCCGAACCUGCCCGGGCUCAACCGCGCUACGCUCUGCGGGACGCUGUACCUGCUCCCCGAGCGCUCGCGUCGCGUUGUCCUGGAAGACAAUGAGCGUGGAAACAAUUUGAAAAAGACAGGGAGCAGAGGAAAGACCCGGAGCAGUGUAGCCGCCUCUGCUACACUGAAAGAUUUAAAAACAACCGGCGCGAUUGAUUAAUAAUGACUUCCAUGUCUCUUCCCUUCUAUUGUUUAGCCCGGCUCGGGAGUUAAGAUGAGCCUUGAUGAAUAUGCAAACGUCCUGCAGUUUCUGGAACCUUUAAUGUGCUUGGUAGGAAGUCAGAGCUUAAGGUUCCUCAGUUACAUUGUUUGCUCUCCACAUGUCCAAGUAAACAUGGCAGCCUAAUAGCGUAUGGGUUCGAAUUAACACCGAUAGGAGAGCUUCGGCUUGUGAAAUUACUUUUUCCAGGUUUUCAACUUCCUAAUGCACUGCUGGUUGAAAUAAAGCGAAAAUGCUUUCGUACUGCAUCACUUAGGGCUUCCCUUAAAACCGAGGAGUGUGGAGGAACGCCAACCAAACUUUUCCAGAGUGGUGCAGCGUUGUCCAAAUGUAUUUCUGAGCAGAACUGUUGUUGGUAACCGAACGGUGCUUUAGGUUGCGCGUCAGCUUUGCGGGCUGCGCAGAUGCCUUUUUAAUUCUUUAAAAUUUCUGCUUGACAUUCCCCCAGGGUUUUUAUCUAAGUGAGGAUCCAAAAAGUGAUGCAACCUAGAAGACCAGGUUGAUAGCAGCUUCUCCACGCUGUGUCCUUUCUCUGUACUACCGUAAGUUAGGAAAGAAUGUGGUCGCCUGGGUUCUUUAAUGUGAUUUAUGGACUCUUGUAAGAAUGGCAUCACCUUGUGGUUGACAAACCUGCAUUUGCCUCUGAAUCACCUGGGAAGACAGGUCCACACAACCCCAGGCAACACUCCAGACUCCGGCAUCAAGGAAGAAGGGUAGAUAUCUUUAUUCCCCUCCUCCCUUCCCUUUUAAAAUUGAUUUUGUAACUUGUUGUGGGGUUUUGGUUUUGUGUGUUUGUUUUUUAGCAAAAAAAGUCACAACUAGAAAAAAAUAAUUGGGGCGAUUAGGAGGAAGAUGAUGCAACAGAAGUGAGUAGGGCCCUCUGUGAAGAUGCCUGGGUCACGCCAGGGAGUUUAGUAUUUUUGCUGUAAUCAGCAGAGCUUAUCAGAUUUGCUUUUUACAAGUUUAGCUUGUAAUGGGGGCUGUACCACAUCUGGGAGGAUGCCCUCUCCUGGAGGGGAAACCAGGACCACAUCUCCAGUUAGCAGGUAAUUGUGCUAGUCAAGCAUGGAGUCAAGGAUAUUGGAACUGAAGCAGUGGGAAAGCAGACAAGGAAAGGGAUUUGAGGUGAGUUCAUGUGUGGUUGGAGAAAGAAGCAUAAGAUGACCCCCACGUUUCUCGCUUGGGGGCCCUGGGUGGGAGGUGAUGCUACCAACUGAAAUAGGAACUGCUGAAAGACAAACAAGUUUUGGGGUGAGUUCCGGUUUGGAAAUGUUAAAUUUCAGGGGCCUCCCAGAUAUUCUAGGCAGAAGGCAGUUGGUAAAACUAGGUCUGGCGCCUGGGAUGGGGGUGAGCUCUGACUUUGAGAUGCAAAUGUGGGUGCCAUCAGCAUAUAAAUGGACUUUGACGCCUCGGAAAGUGGUGAGACGAACCAGGAGGGAGAGAGUUCAGGAAAAAAGUGAAAGAGACCUUGGACAGAGCCCUGCGGAGCUCCAAAAUGGGAUGGCUGGGCCAGCGAGCGAGAGGCUGACUGCUGCUGGGUCUGUGGGAGGUUAGCAUGCUCAGAAUCAUUCCUCCCCCAGCCCUGGGGGCUGCAGCUCCAGAACAACUUUAGUCAUAGUCUCCUGAGUGGAGGCUAUAGAUUCUUGGCUAAGCCACAAACACCUGGAUUCAUCUGGAGCUAGUCUGCAACUUUGCGGCUGGAUAUCCCACCAGAUCUCUGUCUCUCCCUUCCUUUGUUAUAAACGCCAGCCUCACUCUGUGCUUCCCUUUGUUGCCUUCUUUCUCCUGCCAUCCUUUCCAUGAGCCUUCCCCAGCGGCCUCAUCAGAGCCCCAUUCCAUUGGGAACCAUCUCCCCUGAGUUCUCAGGUCCUCCUGGCUCCACUUGAAAGAUGGUUCCCCUGGGUUGAAUUACUUGCUGGAGGUUUGUUAAAAAUACAAAUUCACCAGCCCCACUCCAAAGAUUAUAUCCAGCAGGUGUAAUGGGUUGAAUUAUGAUAAAGAUUCUUUGCUUGACCAAACUUUAGUCGGGCUCCUGAAACUUCUCCUAGGCCCAACUGUACACUUCCUUGUAAAAUCCAGUUUUGGCAAGAUGGGUAUCUGAUCACCUGGCCUGCCUUCAGCAAGAGUCCUGGUAGGUCGGUUUAGACAGGAUCCCCCUCAGCCCUGAUGUCUCUUAGUCCUUUCCCAUCCACUGACCGCCAACCUGCUCCUUGGCUGCAAAUUCCCACUUGCCCAUGCUGUAUUCAGAGUUGAGCAUAGUCUCUCUCCCCCACUGCAAAAUUCCAGCACAGUGGCCCUAUACUUAUUGCAAUAGUCCUGAAUAAAGUCUGCCUUACCAUCUUUAACAAGUGUGACAAAUAGUUUUUUCUUUAAUAAUUGUGCCCCCCUCCUACCCCCCCCCCAAAAAAGAUAUGUUGAAGUCCUAACCUCGAGUACCUAUGAAUGGGGCCUUAUUUGGAAAGAAGAUCCUUGCAGAUGUAAUCAAGUUAAGAUGAAGUCAUACUGGAUUAGGAUGGGCCCUAAAUCCAAUGAGCUAUAACAAAAGGAAGAUUUGGAGACAGAGACCCAGGGAAGAAGGCCACAUGAAGAUGAGGCAGAGAUUGGAGUCAGGCAGCUACAAGCCAAGGAACACCGAGGAUUACUGGCGACCACCAGAAGUAGGAAGAUACCCUCCCAGAAACAUCAGAGAGGCCAUGGCCCUGCCAACACCUUGAUUUGUGACUUCCGGCCUGCUGAGCUGUGAGAGAAUACAUUUCUGUUGUUUUACGCCACCCAGUCUGUGGUAUGUGUUACAGCAGCCACAGGAAACCAAUAUAGCGUGUCUGAGGUGUACGUUGGGGGACGAGGUGCUAAGAAUCCAUGCUUUGGAUGGGCUCACCUGGUGGUGGUGGUGCUUUAGGGGAACACUGCACUAAAGAAUGCUGCUUUCUCAGAAACCCAGAGGGCAGGAGGCUGCCCGUUCAUCUGCUUCCCACGUUCUGCUAGCUUCGGUGACGUUACUUUCCCUCUGUCCUGCCUUUCUCAUGUCCCGCCUGUCUUUCGGGUUCUUGCUAUCCAGCGUUACACCAUCUGAUGCCACACUGGUCACUUCCUUACGUUGUUUGAGUCAUGCUCAUUCAGAUAUGGCCCCUGAUCUGUGAUCAUGGGGGGUGGUGGGAGUGUCCAAUCAGAGCUAAGACCCGGUGGGCAAUGGACACAUCAUAUUAUUAAAUUUAGCUUUACUCCACAUAAGCUGCCCAUUCUCGUGGCUAUACUGUGAACCUCCUCAUUCCUAGAAAUCUUAAACACCAACAUCCUGUCUUCAAUCCUAUAGUCCUCUCAUUGCUUUACUCCCUGACACCUGCACAUCAACUGCAUAGUGGCCGCCAGUCUCUCUCCUUCCAUCCAGCCUGGAUCCCUUGGUCAGCUCAGCAGCCUGGUCCCCUGCACCUCCCCUUCUUUGACCACACCCACCCACAAACAUGCAGCCUUAGGUCCCUCCCACCUGCCAUGUUCUCUGCCCUUUUGCUGGGCUGGAGAAAACGUAGAACUUGGAGACCAUGCCAUUACAGAUGUGUGAUCUCCAGUGCCACCUGGGCCUUUCUGACAGCUGGAAAAUCCUUAAGUAUGUUAUUCCUAAUGUUCGUUAUUCUCCCCGAAGUUUAUACCACAGUUUACUGCCCUCAGUGGCAGAUGCAUCUCAAGAAGAAAAUGUACACCAUGGGAGGGAGCCUCCAACUUUCCCAUACCGUUCCCAUCCCACCCCUUGGACCAGCACGCCAGUGUCUGGGAGGGAGGACCACUUCUGAAUGUCCAAGGCUGGUCCCCUGCCUGUGCUCCAGCUGCCACCCUUCCAACAAUAGCUAACUUUUGUUGAGGACUUGCUACGUAUCUACGUAUGUAUCCCACUGUACAGAGUGUUUUCUGACCAUCACCUCUUAGAAUUCUGGCAACAUCCCCUUGAGGUAAGUCCUAUUGUAUAUUUUCCUUUCCUGGAGGAAAGCAGGGCUCAGACUGAUUAAGCAGCUUGCCCAAAGUCACUGUCUUACUUUGGGUCCCCCCCCCCAACCCGGGCAGAACUGGAGACAAGGACUUGGGGGAAGGAAGUCUUCAGAAGGUAGUUUCAGGAAGCACAAGUCAAGAAGUGGGCAAAAUAAGACAGGAAAGGGAGAAAGCCAAAAAGCAUGUAAAUGAUUAGGUUAGCACAGUGGGUAGUGGGGCUCAGCCCUGUUGGCGCCUCUCUCAGAAACUGUGUGGAACCCCCUCUGGUUGGCGGAAUAAUGCACCUCCUGCCCCCAGAAGAUUGUCUAUGUCCCAUUCCCCGGAACCUGUGAAUAUAUUAUGUUCCAAGGUAAAGAGGAAUUGAGUUUGCUAAUCAGUUAACCUUAAGGAGAUUAUUCUGGGUUAUAUGGGUGGGCCCAGUGUAUCCACAAGCGUCCUUAAAAGUGGAAGAGGGAAUAGAGAACAGAGCGAUGUCAGCCUGAGAAGGAUCUGGCCCGACAUCGCCGGCUUUGAAGAUGGAGGAAGGGGCAUGAAUCAAAGAAAACAGGAGCCUUCUGGAAGCUGGAAAAGCAAUAGAAAACGAAUACAUCUCCUUAAAAUCACGCCACUGGCAGGCUGGAAGGCUGAGGCACUCAUCCAUGGACUCUCAUCUUUCAUUGGCUGAGGGUUGCCCCUGGGGCAGUGGACGGAGACUCAGAACUUCCUGCCCUGGAGAAGCAGCCCUGGAGGACCAGGCAGGCAGGUGAUGGAGGUGGAACACUGCCAGUGGGCUGGAAACUCUCCCCAACGCUUCAGGUGAAACCAGAAGCAGGCUGGGCAUUGAUGGUGUCGACAGCCUCUGCCACAGGGCCCAGCUGUAAGCAGUCAAGCCAGGAUUGGAACGGGGUUAAGUGUGGAGCCCACGUGCCUAGCCUAGGACUUCCCUGUGGCAUUUGAGGCCAUGACAUAGGAGGCUCAAGGGCUAUUUCUACUAGACAGUGCUAUUCCGGAGGACUCCCCCAUCCCCAGAGCCCCAGACACAGACAUUCACCACUUAGGUGGCUCUCGUUGCCUCUGGCUCCACUUUUCCAGUUGCGGUUCUCACUCAUGGGUGUGCACGGAUGAUCGUAGGUGGUAUGUGGAAGAACAUUAAUUUGUAUAGUCACAUGUUCGUUGUAACACACAUUGAGAAGAUUUAACUGACAUAUAAAACCUGUGAUUUCAUGGACAUUAUUAUUUAGGACAAAAAGGGAGUCAACUUAAAGAAAAAUUUAAAGAAACAAGAGCACAGCCUAAAGUGAUAGCAUUGGUCAAGUAAAUAAUAGCUACAGGAUAAAUUUCAGAAAAAUACAAACAACCUGCAUGAUCCAGCUUCUCCUUUUCCUCUCUGAUCUGAUCUCCGGAAGGUGCCCGCUUUCUCUUCUUCAGCCACACAGCCAUACUGAGUGCAUCCACACCCCCAGGCUCACCUGCUCUUUCUCCACUUUGCGUCUUGGCAAGCACCAUAUCUUUGCUUGUACCACCUCGUCUCCCUUUCUGGCAAAGGAAAACCAAACUUGUAAGAUUCUGCUCCAAGAGCCUUCCCUCUGAAGAGUUCUCUGGCUACUUCGGGGGAACAACCACCCCAUCUGUGGUAGGCAGAAUAAUGGCCCCUCAAAGAUGUCCACAUCCUAAUCACCCAUGAAUAUGUUACCUUGCGCGGCAAAAGGGACUUUGCAGAUGUGACUAAGUUAAGGAGUUUUUGAUGAGAAGAUUAUCCUGCAUUAUCUGGGUGAACAAGUGCAACCACCAGCAUCUUUUUAAGGAAAAAAGGAAGACAAGAGGAUAGAAAGAGAUGUGACAAAGGAAGCAGAGGUCAGAGUGAACUGGGGCCACCAGCCAAGGAAUGUGGGCAGCUUCCAGAAACUGGAAAAGGCAAGGAAAUGGAUUCUGCCCAAGAGACUCCAGAAGGAACACAGCCCUGCCAACCCAUUUUGGUCCUCGUCGUGGAACCUAUCCUGCUGAUUUGCAGUUCUUAUUCCAUAUAACUAAUCUCUCCUCCACAAUUCCACCCCUCCUCCAGAAGCCAUGAGCUCCUUGUAGAGACUGUGUCAUGUGUAUCUUUGCGGUAGGAAUGGCAGGAGAGUGGUAUUCUGGAAUUUGGGGACAAAGAAUUUAAGAAGGUAGGAGGAGUCAACAUUGUCAAGUACUACAGAAAAGUGAGGCAAGAUAAGGACCGAAAAUAGAUCAUUGGAUUUAAGAGGUCCCUAGUGGCCUUGGGAGAAGAUACUCACAUGCAGACGCCAGAGUGGAAGAUGAUGUAGUGGGCUGAUGAGUGAGUGGGAGUUGAAGAAGUGGAGAUAAUGAGCAUAAACACCUCUUUUAAGAGAUGUGUUGGAGAAGAAGAAGAGAGGACAUUCACCUGAGAGGGAAGAGAAGGAGUUUGUUUUUUAGAACCUCAAAAUCUUGGAGAGGUAUGUACGCCAAAGCGAAGCAGUCAAAGCAGAAGAGACUAAAGAUAUGAGAAUGGGAAGUGACAGGGAGAUGAAGAUCCAAAAGACAGGGAGGAGGAGAGGGAUUCUGGCGUGCGGACCGAGGCAGAAGAGGAAGCGAGGACGGGGGCUCUGGGAGGUAAGUUUGUUGGCAGAUUAUGCAGUGUUUGUUUUGUUUCUGCUUUCUUCACUACACUGUAAGCUCUGUGUGCACAGAUUGUGGCUCUGUGCUCAACACAGAAAUAACAGUUAACACUGAAAAUCACUUGCUCUGUUCCAGACACUGUUGUAAGAGCUCUGCCUAUGUUAACUCAUUUAAUCCUCAUGACAACCCUAUGAAGUAGGUAUCAUUAUUAUGCCCGCUUUAUAGAUGAGGAAAUGGAGGCACAGGGAGGGUAAGUAACUUGUCCAACGUCACAAAGGCUGAAAGUGGAGGACUUGGAUUUGAACCCAGCCUGUCUGUCUCCCAAGUCCACACUGCACAGAUGGGGUUGCUCAAGGAGUUGUCAAGCGAGUGAGGAACGGAGCUAGCUUUUCAUGCUCCCCCACAAAUAGGGUGGGUUUGCUUUCCUGCAUCUCUAUUUCUUCCUCCCCCCUUGUGGGGCCAUCAGCAUGAUCUUCUCACACAGAUGAGGGUGAAUGGAAGGGUGGCUAUCUGCUGGACCAAGGGUGACGUCACAAAGAUGCCUGAGACCUUAUCGCUUAAUCUCCACCUAGAGACAGGAGCCCAAAAUGCCCGGCUCCGUUAGGAUAACACCUUCCCAGACACCUCCCUCUUCCCUCUUUCUCCAUCUCAGCCAGAACUAGGAUUCCCUAGGCCAUCCCUUGCUUCUCAGCAGGUUACUGGAAUGUUCCUUCCACACCACCCCAUCACCCUCUGCAGGCCUGGCUUUGCAGCCUUAGAAUUUGCUAGCAGGACUUCGGGCUGGGGGCCAAGCUCAGAACCCUCCCGAAAGUAGGUUUCUAUGGGGAAGGCAGAAAUUCAGAACCAGACCCAGGAGGGCCAGAGGUAAUCGGUUCAGCGCCUAGGAAGGCCAGAGAACCUGGGAAGGCAAGAUGGGACCUUGGCACAUCAGAUGGGAAAGCAACGUGACCUGGACUAUAUCAUGAGAGAGAGCCUGCACCUGGCACCCCUCAGUGUCUGUGCCUUCGCAGCCAGCCUUGGCCUGGUGAGCGGAUUCUGGAAAGAAGUAAGAGCCUAAGGCUAAUUUUAGGCUGCAUCUUGAUCUUUUGGGGACCCUCUCAGUUUUCCCCUAGGCCCCUGUCUGGGCUUAUUCUUGUGACUACACGUCUUUCCAGACCAAUUUAACUCUCCCAAGGACUGAGGUUCCAGAUCCCUGUCUGAGAAACUGGCUGUUUUUCAUGCUAUGAAAUUUCCAGGUGAUGCGAAUCCCAAUAAAAAAUGGAAAUAGCUGGAAGGCAAAUAAAAUUUUAUUUUCUUGCACAACAUAAACAUGCUUUCUCUCUUCUCCUAAAUAUCAUUUCUCUCAUUUCACCACUCUUGCUGGAAAAGUCACAUCAACCAUAAGCCUUAUUUUUGAGAAACUACUAGUUUGCAGACACUGAGACCAGGUUAAAACCCCAAUCAAUAAAAGAGAAUUGCUGUAAUGCCAAGUGCUGGGCUGAGGUCUCAGGGAUUUUGGGGAGCAGCAGGGAAGGGGAAUUUGUGGACCUCCUGAAAUUAUGUGCAAAAUUGUGUCCACUUGUGCAUUUCCGGGAAGAGACUUCCUAGCUUUCAUCAACUCCUCAAAGGGGUCUAUGACCCCAAAAAUGAGUGCUUUGGUGGCAAAUGCUGUGGGAGAACAGAAUUUGGAAUUGGAGGAGAAAUUUGAAAAAUAAGGAGUACAUUAUUAUUCCACUAAUUCAUUAAUGCUACCGUAAUUUCAAUAAUCAUCAUUCUCAUCAGUGGUCUUUUACAAUCUUCCGUAAAAACCUUUUUUGGCAAGAAGAAAAAGAUCAUGAGAAAUUCAAGCCAUCGCAUUGGCACUUCUGUGUUUGAUCUCGGAAGGAGUGAAUUGAUUAUUUCUAAAUGAAGGACACUCAUUGAAGUCGAUCAUAGUUAAGAAGCCCCCUCCAGGCUUCCCCUAGGGUUCCCAUGGGACACUCCUCUCCCCAUCAAGCCUGGGGCUCCCUCAGAGGCCUGCUUCCUGCAGCAUCUCCCAGAUGUGGCUCUGAGGUUGGGCUCAGGAGGGCUCAUCAAACCGGCGCCUCGUGACAGGAUGAAGGAUUUAAACUCAGUCUAAGCACUAAUGCAGGGAGGCAUCUACGCUGAUGAAGAUGGACAGAAACACGCCCCCAGUGUGGUCGGUUGAAGGGGGUACUCUCCAUGGAAAUACAUUAACAAUAGGAUGCUCUCCGAAAUUCUGGCUCUGCACCUCCCAAAAUAUAGCCACAUUCCACAAGAUCCUACUGUGCUGUGGUGUUUUCCCUGGCGAAUCCCAUUUUUCUUAAGCACAAAAUUGAUUAAUUUGGUGCCGUAAAAUGAAGAUUUCCCUUUUUGCAUCCAGAGAGUAUCAAAGACUACAAAAUUAAUUAAGUUUUCUCUUUGUCUUUUUGAUCCAGGAAAGAACACUGUGGGAAAAAGCAGAUUAUUUUUCUUUCUUGCAUUUUUCACAUCCCUCUCUCUUCCUGUCUCCACUGAUUAAAAUGAGUGAUGUUGCACAUAAUUCCAAAAAAUGCAUAGACCACCCCCUCCCAAAUCCUGAGACCUUGAUAUCCAUCCACUCGUGAUAACUUAUCCUGUUCUUCCCUUGAACAUUCCGUUCCCUCUUUUUUUUUUUAAGGAAAGCUGCUCUUGCCUUCUAGCCAGAUAUGCUCUCCCCAUUUCCAGCUUCCUGUCCUUUGGGUAUUCUGCAAUAUAAUGAAUGAACAGUCUUGAUCGCCUUGGUUCGGGUGCAUCCCUUCACAUAUUUCUGAAUUACUUGUCACUGGCUCUCCUCUGUGCCCCAGGUUUAAGAUCCUCUGCCACGGUCGCAUUGUAAUAAAUAAUGAUUGUUAGAAGCCAAAUUUUCUCUAGUAUUUGGUGCAGGGAGAAGUAAGGAAGGGAGAGAUGCAGAAGAGAAAGGUUGGGAAGACGGUGUGUGUGCAUGUAUGUUUCAGGCUUGCUGUCUAUUUCCUGCUCUAAUAAUUUGUUAAAUAAAAAAUUGGCUCCAGACUUAAGUCCUAAGUGAACUAGAGUUCACUGUUCUCCAAGCAAAGAAGCAGCUAUUUAUUCACAUUCGUUGUUCUCAAUGCUUAAUCCACGGCAGACUUUACCCUUGGCCCCCAAAUAACACCAUCUUCCUUAAUUAUCUCCUCUGGUCAGAGGCCACUUGGGAAAAGAAUCGCAAAUUGAGCUCAUCCUGCCCAACGGUUACUGUCCUCGUCUGCCACUUACACUGUUAGCAAUGUGCUUGGCAUAUGCUGAGAACGGCUCAAGGGUGGACCCAGCCUCAGCGCCUCCAGACUCGAAACUAGACAGGAUACAAGAGGAGAAAUAAUAAAUAAAUAACGGCAGAGGCAAAAAGAGGUUUCAUUUUAAAUCUCCCAGAGCCCCCACAUCUGGAACACAGGGACCAUGUCUGGUUUUGGAUGUUGUUGAGGUUUGGCCUUCUUUAGCUCGAAUUCCUCUGAGCAAAGCUGAUCCCCCUCUGUCCUUCGUGGUGAGCGAGAGUGUUUCCAUUUCGAUGCUUUGCAUGCAGAUCCAAGCAGCACAUGGGUGGCGGUACUGGAUAAGCGCUAAGUUCCUUUUCGGCCUGAAGAUUCUGUGAUCCCAUUGAGGGGAAAGUGCACCCUUGACAAUUUAUUGGUGGUAAUUUCCUGUGUUCAUUCUGGCUUCCAGUUGAUUCUACUUUUCUGUAUAUUGCUCAAAUCCAUUCACUUUUGUUCUUCUCUGCUGGUUCUUCCUAAAUUCACAUUUCAUUUGCCUGAAUGAUUUGCAAGAUCUCAGCUAUGGACUGAAGGUUUGUAACCUCCCCAAAUUCACAUAUGGAAGCGCUCCCCCCUCAAUGUGAUGGUGUUAGGAGAUGGGGCUUUUGGGAAGCGAUUAGGUUUAGAUGAGGUGUGGAGGGUGAGGGCCCCUGUGGUGGGAUUAGUGCCCGUAGAAGAGGAAGAGAACAGAGCUUUCUCUCUUUCUGCCACGUGAGGACACAGCAAGAAGGUGACCAUCUGCAAGUACGAAGAGGGGCCUCACCAGACACCAAAUCUGCAUCAUGAUCUUGGACUUCCCAGCCUCCAGAACUGAGAGAAAUAAAUAUUUGUUGUUUAAGCCCCGGAGUCUAGGGUAUUUUGAUAGAGCAGCCCGAACUGCCUAGCACUGUCUCCAGCUGCUUCCACUCUUGUUGCAGCCCUCUUACACAUCUCCCCUGUUCCAUCCUGAAGCACAAUGCAGAUAACGCCACACCCCAGCCUGAAAACCCAGAGGGCCCCUCACUGCCUAUGGAGUCAGGCCCACAUCUUUUAACCCAGGUAGCCAUGCUUGACCAGUGGUAAAUUACUCAUCAGCCCCAUUGUUAUUAACACCCAAUGUCAAGACUCUAAGACGCCACCUGGCUGCCAAAAGAAAGUCCUGCCUUUUGCAGUGCCUCCCUCUCUGAAAGUCCUGGAGAUGUCCAAGGUGCUUCUAUUUCCUGCAGGUCAAGCCUAGUUACUGGUCCCUCUGUCGCCCUUUGCACAGCCAAUGCCGGACACUCUUGACACGAAAGGUGAAUGCCAGAGACCUGCAGUGGUCAAGAACGUGAGAGCCAGUGUGUCUCCCAUUUUUUGAGCUUUAACUUAAAAACAUUAAAAACGCCACCGAUGAAACACCAAUGGUUUCCAAGUAGUUAGUAAAGAAAUUGUAUUCAUACCAAAAAAAUAAAAUAAAAAUGCCCUAAAUUGCAAACAGAAGUGGUAUAAUUAAAGUAUAUAUAUUUAAUAAAUUAAUGCUUUUCACACACACAAAAAUCAAUGCAAUAUGAUUGUACUAGUUAUAGGAUAAUUAGAGGUUUUAUAGAGGAAGAAUAAAUCUUUACACUUAUAUAAGAAAGUAUAAGAGUUUAUCUUUGUGUCCUUAGAGCAAGAGGAAUUUCUUAAAUAAGACAAAAAAACGCAAAUCAAGAGGGAAAUAGCCUUACAUUUGGCUAUAAUAAUACUUAAAACUUCUAUGUAAUAAAAAUAUACUUAAACCAAGUUAUGGGCAAGCCACAGACUGGGAGUAGAUAUUCGUAAAGCAUAAUCAACAAAGGAACAAUUUAUAGAAUAUGUAAAGAAUGCAUACAAAUCAAUAAGAAGAAAAAAACAAUCCAAUAGAAAAAAUGGUGAAGUUCCAAAGAGGGAAUUCACAAAAGAGGACAUCUGAGUGGCUAAUAAAUACAUGAAAAGACGUUCAAUCUCAUCAGUAAUCAGGAGAAUGAAAAUUAAAACGAGAUGCUAUUUUAAAGCCACUAGAUUGGCAAGAAUUAAAAGUCCAGCAAAACUAAAUGCUGUAAAAAUGUGGGGGAAUUGGGGCUGUCUUAUGGUGGUAGCAGGAAUGGAAGACAUUAAAACCUUUUUGGAGGGCAAGUGAAUGUUCUCCGGUAAAGUCAAAGAUGUAUAUAUCCUCUGACUCAUUAAUUCCUCUUCCAGGAGAAUGUGCACAAAGAGACACAUACAAGGAUAGUUGUCAUAGCUAAAAAUGGGAAAUCAUUUAAAUUUCCAUCAAUACAGGAGUGGGAAAAUGUUGCAUAUUCAUAUCAUGGAAUACUAUAUAGCAGUUAAAAUGACUUAAAAACCCUCUAAAUAUAUCAACAUGAAGGAAUCUUAAAAUGUAACGUUAAUGGAGUUAUUGUUAAACAGGUAUGAAGUUUCAUUCCAGGAAGAUGAAAAAGUUUGGGACAGGGCUGGUGGUGAUGGUCACACAAGGUGAAUGUGGUUAAUGCCAUUGAACUGUAUACUUAGAAAUGGUUAAAAUGGUAAAUUUUAUGUUAUGUAUAUUUUACCACAUUAAAAAAGAAAAUCAUAAUGAACAGAAAAAGUGCACCGUGAAAUGCAUUAGGUGGCACAUUCAUGACAUUUAAAGACUUUAGAUAAUACUACUACAUACUUAUGGAAUCUGCAUGUAUAUGAUAAAUAUAUAAAGACGAAGAUGAGAAGGAGUCUCAGAUGCAAGACAUUGACUUCUGGGAACGAGAGGAGGAAAGUCUGACUUGGUGGCUAUGCUUGAAUUCUAUCUGUGACAUUUUAUUUCUUUUGUAAAAAAUCUAAGAACUCAUUAAAAUGUUAACACAAAU
rnacentral:lncRNA from 1 species